rnacentral:rRNA from 1 species
CCUACGUGCGGCUGCAGUGGGGAAUUUUGGACAAUGGGCGAGAGCCUGAACCAGCCAAGUAGCGUGCAGGAUGACGGCCCUAUGGGUUGUAAACUGCUUUUAUGUGGGGAUAAAGUGAGCUACGUGUAGUUUAUUGCAGGUACCACAUGAAUAAGGACCGGCUAAUUCCGUGCCAGCAGCCGCGGUAAUACGGAAGGUCCAGGCGUUAUCCGGAUUUAUUGGGUUUAAAGGGAGCGUAGGCCGUGGAUUAAGCGUGUUGUGAAAUGUAGACGCUCAACGUCUGAAUUGCAGCGCGAACUGGUUCACUUGAGUAUGCACAACGUAGGCGGAAUUCGUCGUGUAGCGGUGAAAUGCUUAGAUAUGACGAAGAACUCCGAGUGCGAAGGCAGCUUACGGGAGCACAACUGACGCUGAAGCUCGAAGGUGCGGGUAUCAAACAGGAUUAGAUACCCCUGUAGUC